rnacentral:lncRNA from 1 species
GAUAACCACUCUCUGUCUCACUGGAACAGAAGGCUGAGGUGGAAACUAAUUGCAGCCUGGGCCCGCCAUUGCCCACAGCAAGCUUCAGAAACGAAGGGCAUCUCAUUUUGUUUUGCUGUUGUUUUAUUUUCAACAAAAAGGCUCUAUUUAUGGUGAAGUUGGUUUCAAACGACCUUGGAACUCAUUGUCACUCGCUCCUCAGCGCCUGAGGAUUAAAGCAGACUGGAAGACGUAGGACUUAGGACGGGGAGAAAUUCGGCCUCCCCCUCUUCCUCCAAUACUGCUCGGACUUCCCCAGAUGGAAAGCGGGAAGGGGACUCUGGGAAAAGUGGUCACCUAAGGCAGUGUGGUUCCAAGCCAAAACAUCUGACAAAAUCCACAUUAAGGAAGGAGGGGUGUACUGAGGCUGCAGUCCGUCAUGGCGGGGAAGGUAUGGCAGCAGGAGCAAGAAGAUGGCCCCCAAAACUCACACAGUAAUAUAUUGAAUGACUCUAUUUCUAUGAAAUGCCCGUGAUAGACAAAUCCACACACAGAGAGAAGCCAGGAGUGGAGUAAACCAGGAUGGGGGAGCCUUUCCUGGUAGCUGAGGAGAGGGUCCUAAAGUUGUCUGUGGUGAUGGCCACCCACCUAUGAAUAUACUGAGAGCCUCUGAGUUGCAUCCCUAAGGAAGCUCCCGAGGUGUGAGCAGCGAUUGAGGUGCAGCCUUAGCUGCCCCAAUGACUUAGCAAUGACUGAUCGAUCAAGGGUUGGAUGGCUUGAGUGUUUGAUCUUGGCUGGGGGAGUUUGUGUGUCUGAGCACCUGAAGAGAUGGCUCAGAGGCGUGAUAUACAGUGACUGCACAUGUAUUAUAGUGGCUUGAUGCCCUCUUUGAAACGCACAGUAAUUUCUCCAUGCCGUCUUUCACCGGGCUAGAUGCUGAGGAAUGCCAAUCCUUUCUUUAGGCAAAAGCAAGUCACCAUCAAAGAUAUGAAUAAAACAGGGUGUGUGACUAUUACUAUUA